rnacentral:rRNA from 1 species
AUGGGCUCAAGCAUCUCCAUGAUUCUGCUCCCACAAGGGGUGGAGUACGGUGAUAGAGACACCAUGUUGGCAUGGGCCAGUAAUGCUUCUGGUGUGUAUCUUAGCCAUGCCAAGAAGCUUCAACUUUGCAUUUGGCUCCACAAGGGGGGCACCUGGUUGUUGGUGCACAAUAUUUGUUUGCGUGAGAUGGUUGCUGGUUUGAUAGAGACACCAUGUUGGCAUGGGCCAGUAAUGCUUCUGGUGUGUAUCUCCACCUGGAUAUCAAGUACAAGAAACUGCGUAAACUGUAUGACCUGGAAGAGAAAGAUCGACCUUUGGGUGAUAUCCAUCCUUUCAUGA